GAGGUUUAUUAGGCGAGCUGCUAAAUCACCAUUUCGGGCCUAAACUCCCGGAAAUCUC
rnacentral:tRNA from 1 species